AGUAAAUGCCAUUCAGGUUGAC
rnacentral:miRNA from 2 species